ensembl:miRNA MIR451A microRNA 451a
UCUGGGAGCAGCAAGAGAACCGUCACCAUUACUAAACUCAGUAAUGGUAACGGUUUCCUCGCCAUCCCCAAG